rnacentral:rRNA from 1 species
CAAGGGUAUGGCUGUUCGCCAUUUAAAGAGGUACGUGAGCUGGGUUUAGAACGUCGUGAGACAGUUCGGUCCCUAUCUGCCGUGGGUGUAGGAUACUUGAGAGGAGUUGCCCCUAGUACGAGAGGACCGGGGUGAACGUUCCACUGGUGGACCAGUUGUCCUGCCAAGGGCAGUGCUGGGUAGCUAUGAACGGACAGGAUAAACGCUGAAGGCAUCUAAGCGUGAAGCCCCCCUCAAAACAAGGUAUCCCUUGAGAGCCGUGGAAGACCACCACGUCGAUAGGCCGGAGAUGUAAGCGCAGCAAUGCGUUCAGUUGACCGGUACUAAUCGCUCGAUUGGCUUGAUUUGAUCCGG